rnacentral:rRNA from 1 species
CUACGGGCUGCACCAGUGGGGAAUAUUGCACAAUGGGCGCAAGCCUGAUGCAGCCAUGCCGCGUGUAUGAAGAAGGCCUUCGGGUUGUAAAGUACUUUCAGCGGGGAGGAAGGGAGUAAAGUUAAUACCUUUGCUCAUUGACGUUACCCGCAGAAGAAGCACCGGCUAACUCCGUGCCAGCAGCCGCGGUAAUACGGAGGGUGCAAGCGUUAAUCGGAAUUACCGGGCGUAAAGCGCACGCAGGCGGCUUGUUAAGUCAGAUGUGGAAUCCCCGGGCUCAACCUGGGAACUGCAUCUGAUACUGGCAAGCUUGAGUCUCGUAGAGGGGGGUAGAAUUCCAGGUGUAGCGGUGAAAUGCGUAGAGAUCUGGAGGAAUACCGGUGGCGAAGGCGGCCCCCUGGACGAAGACUGACGCUCAGGUGCGAAAGCGUGGGGAGCAAACAGGAUUAGAUACCCGCGUAGUC